CUUCCGUGAAGCUGAGGCCUUUUAAAAGUCCUCAUUUUCACUAUUUGUAUAGCCUACUCCCAAUUUUUGUUUUUAUCCUUAGAAGACCUAAAGAAUGCCCCAUAGGCCAGGUGUUGUUGCAAAUACCUCUAACCUCAGCAGCUGGGAAAUUUAGCAGGGGAAUCAUGAGUUCAAGAUGAGGCUGGGCUAUGUAACCAAAAUCCUGUCUCAAAGAGAUCAAAAACAAAACAAAACAAAACUCCAAAUUCAAAAGCUAGAUAAAACAUUGGCCUAGGGUGAACAAGAGCCCAGACUUUGUCCCCAGCACUGGAAAAGAAAAGCAAAGGAGGAAACGAAGAAGAGAAAAUUCCUCUAGAACAGCAGAAGGAAACUCACUCUUUACAGGAUCCAUCGGAAGAGGAUGAAGAGCAGGCACAGAUGUCCUGUGAUCUGGGCUCAGACCGAGUCCACUUUAAGCACAGGGUUCAAGGAGUGUCUGGCUCAUACCACUGGGUCUACUUUGUCCCCUGCAGUCCUUAGGCUUAAGUGCUAACAGUUUCAAUUUUAGGAUUUGCCAAGUUCCCAGCUCACCGUGUUGAAAUGUGCUUGUCUUAAAGUCUUGAGUCUCACUGCAGUAACUGGGGGACUUCAGAUGCCCCUGUGGGACACCAGGGCAGGACGAGCCUCACCUUUUCCAGCUGACUCCACACAUCCAGCACAUCAUGGGCAAAGUUGAAGUACUCGGGCACUGGCUGCCUCCCCAGGCUGAUGGCUUCCCAGGUGGCUACAACCUCAGGGAUAGGGGGAGGGGGAGGCUGUGUGUGAAUCCUGCAGACUCUCCAGGAACUCCUCAGAGCCUGGCAGACCAGUCCUCUCAGCCAUAACCUCAUGUCUUCUGUCACCGUCUGCCUGUCACCAAAGAGGAGAGACUGUAAUGCUGAAUUCUGGAAUUUGGGUUGAGGAGUCUGUGACCAGCCCUGAGAGUGGCAGUGUAGCUCGUGCUGACUGUCAUUCUGCUGUGACUCUGGAAGUGUCUCUUCUCUGAACCCAAGUCCUCCUACCUCUGCCUGUGUCAGGGUCUGCAUGUAUCUGAGGCCAUCCAUUCACAGCCCAUGACUUAAAACUCAGGCCUUCAAAGGAAUCCCCCAAUGACAGUAAUUUUGCUGUAUUAAAAAAGUCAACAUGCA